AGGCCACUGCUAUCAGAGUUCGAUUAAGCCAUGCGAGUCGAGAGGUGUAAGACCUCGGCAUACUGCUCAGUAACACGUGGACAACCUACCCUAUGGAGGGGGAUAACCCCGGGAAACUGGGGAUAAUACCCCAUAGAUUAUGGAUGCUGGAAUGCUCUGUAGUUGAAAGGUCCGCCGCCAUAGGAUGGGUCUGCGGCCGAUUAGGUUGUUGUUGGGGUAACGGCCCAACAAGCCUGUAAUCGGUACGGGUUGUGGGAGCAAGAGCCCGGAGAUGGAUUCUGAGACACGAAUCCAGGCCCUACGGGGCGCAGCAGGCGCGAAAACUUUACAAUGCGGGAAACCGUGAUAAGGGAACUCCGAGUGCCCGUUAAAUCGGGCUGUCCACCAGUUUAAAAAACUGGUGAAGAAAGGGCCGGGCAAGACCGGUGCCAGCCGCCGCGGUAAUACCGGCGGCUCGAGUGGUGGCCACUAUUACUGGGCUUAAAGCGUUCGUAGCUGGUUUGUUAAGUCUCUGGGGAAAUCUGCCGGCUUAACCGGCAGGCGUCUCAGGGAUACUGGCAGACUAGGGACCGGGAGAGGUGAGGGGUACUCCAGGGGUAGGAGUGAAAUCCUGUAAUCCUUGGGGGACCACCUGUGGCGAAGGCGCCUCACCAGAACGGCUCCGACAGUGAGGGACGAAAGCUGGGGGAGCAAACCGGAUUAGAUACCCGGGUAGUCCCAGCUGUAAACGAUGCGCGUUAGGUGUAUCGGUGACCACGAGUCACCGAGGUGCCGAAGAGAAAUCGUGAAACGUGCCGCCUGGGAAGUACGGUCGCAAGGCUGAAACUUAA
rnacentral:rRNA from 1 species